GCCUGGCUAGCUCAGUCAGAAGAGCAUGUGACUCUUGAUCUCGGGGUCAUGGGUUCUAGCCCCAAGUUGGGUG
rnacentral:tRNA from 1 species